rnacentral:rRNA from 1 species
AGUGAACGCUGGCGGCGUGCUUAACACAUGCAAGUCGAACGAGAAACGGAUUUAGCUUGCUAAAUUGCAGUCUAAGUGGCGCACGGGUGAGUAAUGUAUAGAUAAUAUGCCUUUUACUAAGGGAUAACAGUUGGAAACGGCUGCUAAUACCUUAUAUGCCUUUAAUACAUAAGUAUGCAAGGGAAAGAUUUAUUGGUAAAAGAUUAGUCUGUAUUGUAUCAGUUAGUUGGUGAGGUAAUGGCUCACCAAGACUAUGACGCAUAACUGGUUUGGGAGGAUGAUCAGUCACACUGGAACUGAGACACGGUCCAGACUCCUACGGGAGGCAGCAGUGGGGGAUAUUGCACAAUGGGGGAAACCCUGAUGCAGCAACGCCGCGUGGAGGAUGACACAUUUCGGUGCGUAAACUCCUUUUAUAUAGGAAGAUAAUGACGGUACUAUAUGAAUAAGCACCGGCUAACUCCGUGCCAGCCGCCGCCGUAA